CCUACGGGAGGCAGCAGUAGGGAAUAUUGCUCAAUGGGGGAAACCCUGAAGCAGCAACGCCGCGUGGAGGAUGAAGGUUUUCGGAUUGUAAACUCCUUUUGUUAGGGAACAUAAUGACGGUAUCUAACCCAUAAGAAGUGGCCAACACCGUACCAGUAGCCGAGGUACUUUGGAGGAUGCAAGCGUUACUCGGAAUCACUGGGCGUAAGGGGCGCGUAGGGGGGAUAGCAGGUCACAUGGGAAAUCCUAUGGCUUAACCAUAGAACUGCAUUUGAAACUGUUAUUCUAGAGUAUGGGAGAGGUAGGUGGAAUGCUUGGUGUAGGGGUAAAAUCCAUAGAGAUCACGAAGAACACUCAUUGCGAAGGCGACCUGCUAGAACCUAACUGACGCUGAUGCACGAAAGCGUGGGUAUCAAACAGGAUUAGAUACCCGGGUAGUC
rnacentral:rRNA from 1 species